rnacentral:rRNA from 1 species
CCUACGGGAGGCAGCAGUGAGGAAUAUUGCUCAAUGGGGGCAAGCCUGAUGCAGCGACGCCGCGUGCAGGAAGAAGUCUUUAGGUGUGUCAAAUUCUAUCAGCACGGGAGAAAAGGACGGUACCUGACUAAGAAUCCACGGCUAACUACGUGCAAGCAGCGGCAGUAAUACGUAGGGGGCAAGCGUGAUACGGAUUUACUGGGUGUAAAGUGGGCGUAGGCGGCGAUGUAAGUGUGAAGUGAAAGCACGGGGCUCAACGCCGGUACUGCUGUUGAAACUGUGGUGCUAGAGUGCAGGAGAGGUAAGUGGAAUUCGUAGUGUAGCGGUGAAAUGCGUAGAUAUUAGGAGGAACACCGAUGGCGAAGGCAGCUGACUGGACUGUAAAUGACGCUGAGGCUCGAAAGCGUGGGUAGCAAACAGGAUUAGAUACCCUUGUAGUC